UAGCAAAAGAAAUAGAGGUAUUGCCUCACUCAGAUAAAAUAUUUCCUAGAACACAUCGAAGAAGAACUUUUCUAUCUACUGGAACCCAUCGAAAAUACUCUCUGGACAUAUCAAAGAAUACUCCCCCUUAGAGAAAUCCAAGCAAAUCUGAUGAUACCCAAUCCCUAGGUGCCGGAGAAGGAGAAGACUCUUAAUUUUGUCUUAGCUGCAAAGUAGGUGAAGAGAUUUUGGUAGUAGUAGGGGAUGGAGAAGCUGCAAUUUUGGUGCGAUAAGUGCAAACACUUUAUCUCCUCAUCGUAAAGUUAUCAUUGAAAAAGCAAAAUUCUUAUCAAAGGCUGAAAUGGAGAGAAUACAAUUAACUCAAGAAACUGAAGAUGACAGUGAUUCAGUUGACGCAUUUGCGUCAUAGGACCUGAGCACCCAAGUCGCGUAAGAUUGUAUGGUCGAGGGGUUACAAAGACUGUCUUAAAAAAGAAAAUGGAAGAUGUUGGAUCCUCUGUAGAUGCUACUGAUGCGAGGAUGCAACAAAAAAAUGGAGGAAAUGGAAGAGAGUGCAACAAGGUAUGCAGAAAAAUUUCAACGCACAGAAAGAUGCUAUGGAACAAGAAAUUACAAUGAACGUCGUUGCACAACUUCAAUGUCUGAACCCAGAUUUGCGACUUGAUCCUAACAUGCUAAUGUUCAGUGCUCGUGCACCUGGAGAAGCUUCCUCUGCACAACAAGCUCCUAUUCAACUAAUCAAUCGUCCAUUUGCUGGCAGUAACAAUCAAGAUGCCUUGCCGGUACUUUAUCGUUUUUAUGGGAGUUUUGGUUGUGUUUUAGAGCUGUUUCGGGGCUAGAUGUGGUUCACGAUGGUUUUCAGCUGGAUUAUUGGUUGUGUUUUGGUGUGUUUUUGGGCUGGUUUGGGAAGGAGAGAUGGCAGCUGUUUUGCUGCGCUUUUGAGCAGCUUUUCAGCCGCAUUUUUGGAGGUUUCUGCUGAUAUUUUUAUGAAGUUUCUAAGUUAUUUUUGGGUGGUUUAUGGGAGGUUUAUAUGGCUGUUUUGGUUGUGUUUUAUGGGAGUUUUGAUUGUGUUUUAUGGGAAUUUUGGUUGUGUUUUAUGGGAAUUUUGGUUGUGUUUUGGAGCUGUUUCGGCGUCUAUUCUAGAUGGGGUUCAUGAUGUUUUUAGCUGGGUUCUCGGCUGUGUUUUGGUGUGUUUUUGGGCUAGUUUAGGAAGGAGAAUUGCAGUUAUUUUGCUGCGCUUUUGAGCAGCUUUUCAGCUACAUUUUUGGAGGUUUCUACUGAUUAAUGAGAGGUUAAGGGAUGUUGCAAAAUAUAUUGUUAUGCUUUUUAGUUUUACAUGUCUAUAUUGGGUGAAAUGCCUAUGUACUCCCUGUGAAGACAGUUGAUAGAAAUAUUCUAGGAAUGUUUGUUAUCAGCAUUUUGUAACUUUCUUUAACUUUUAAAAUGUAAAACUUAUGUCAAGAUAUUUUACUUUAAUGGAUAUUAUUAGGUUGUUGGACAA